rnacentral:rRNA from 1 species
CGGAUUGUAGGCUGAAACUCGCCUCAUGAAGCUGGAGUUGCUAGUAAUCGCGAAUCAGCAUGUCGCGGUGAAUACGUUCCCGGGCCUUGUACACACCGCCCGUCACACCAUGAGAGUUGGCAAUACCCAACGUACGUGAUCUAACCCGCAAGGGAGGAAGCGUCCUAAGGUAGGGUCAGCGAUUGGGGUGAAGUCGUAACAAGGUAAC